rnacentral:rRNA from 1 species
GAUGAACGCUGGCGGCGUGCCUAACACAUGCAAGUCGAACGCUCGCAAGAGAGUGGCGCACGGGUGAGUAACACGUAGCUAAUCUGCCCUCAAGACAAGGAUAACUGUAGGAAACUACUGCUAAUACUUGAUAAGCUUACGGACUGUAGAGGUCUAUAAGAAAAGAUUUAUCGCUUGAGGAUGAGGCUGCGCGCCAUCAGCUAGUUGGUAAGGUAAUGGCUUACCAAGGCGACGACGGCUAGGGGACCUGAGAGGGUGACCCCCCCACACUGGGACUGAGACACGGCCCAGACUCCUACGGGAGGCAGCAGUGAGGAAUAAUUGCUCAAAUGGGCGCAAGCCUGAAGCAGCGACGCCGCGUGGAUGAAG